rnacentral:rRNA from 1 species
GAUGAACGCUGGCGGCGUGCCUAAUACAUGCAAGUCGAGCGAACAGCCGAGUUGCUUUUCCUUCUGAAGUUAUCGUCUGAUGGGUGAGUAACACGUGGGUAACCAACGCAUAAGACUGGGACAAUUUACGGAAAGCGGAGCGAAUACCGCAGAAUAUAUUGCACCGCAUGGUUCAAGCGUGAAAUAAGGCUUUGUUGUCACCUCUGGAGGGAUACGAGACGCAUUCGUUAGUUGGUAAGGUAACGGCUUACCAGGGCAACGAUGGGUAGCCUACCUGAGAGCGAGGUCGGCCACCCGAGAACUGAGGCACGGUCCAGACUCCGACGGGAGGCAGCAGUAGGGAAUCUUCCGCGAAGGGCGAAAGCGGGACAGAGCAACGCCGGGGGAGUGAUGAAGGUGUUAGGAUCGGAAAACGCUGUUAUUAGGGAAGAACAAAUGUGUAAGUAACUAUGCACGUAUUGACGGUACCUAAUCAGAAAGCCACGGCUAACUACGUG